rnacentral:rRNA from 1 species
GAUGAACGCUGGCGGCGUGCCUAAUACAUGCAAGUCGAGCGAACGGACGAGAAGCUUGCUUUUCUGAUGUUAGCGGCGGACGGGAGAGUAACACGUGGUUAACCUACCUAUAAGACUAGGAUAACUUCGGGAAACUGGUGCUAAUACCGGAUAAUAUUUUGAACCGCAUGGUUCAAAAGUGAAAGACGGCCUUGCUGUCACUUAUAGAUGGAUCCGCGCUGCAUUAGCUAGUUGGUAAGGUAACGGCUUACCAAGGCAACGAUGCAUAGCCGACCUGAAGGGGUCGACGGCUACACUGGAACUGAGACACGGUACAGAGUCCUACGGUAGGACGCGGUAGGGAAUCUUCCGCGAUGGGGGAAAGCCGGACUGAGCAACGCCGCGUGAGUGAUGAAGGUCUUCGGAUCGUAAAACUCUGUUAGUAGGGAAGAACAUAUGUGUAAGUGACUGUGCACAUCUUGACGGUACCUAAUGAGAAAGCCACGGCUAACUACGUG